GCCAGAGUGGCGAAAUCGGUAGACGCAGCGGAUUCAAAAUCCGCCGGUCGCAAGGCCGUGUCGGUUCGAGUCCGACCUCUGGUACCC
rnacentral:tRNA from 1 species